CCAGCCAAGGCAGCGGUGCAGCCCUUGAAGCGGUGUUGAAACGCUUUUGAGAUGGGCGGAAGAUUCUCCUUUUUAAAUGACACGCUUUUUAUUUGGGAGAGAAUACCUUCUGUUUAUUGGAUUUUCAACCAUUUGACUGAGCUCAGUCUGCCUUUUAAGGUGAAAAGGGAAGAGGAAAACAUGGCAUUGAGUGGAGCGUGUUUGUUCGGCGCAUUGUGCUUGAUGCAAUUCUCCCGAGGGCCCUCUCCAGAGCCGGGGACACAGUCGCCCCAGUGGCCCACAGACGCUGCACACAGCGAGGGGAACAAAUGUGUCACUUUAGGUUCACAGAUGCUGGCUGUCCACAAGUCUUUCCCUCUCUGCCAAAAAUAUCAGGCAAGAAAUUAGGGAAGGUGAUCUAUUACUGUAACGAGCGAGAAGGCUGUGUGCUUCCACAGCGAGUGACUGACCCAGGACUGUACAAGCUGCAGACAGGCA